GACGAACGCUGGCGGCGUGCUUAACACAUGCAAGUCGAACGGAAAGGCCCUGCUUGCAGGGUACUCUAGUGGCGAACGGGUGAGUAACACGUGUGUGUUCCGCCCUGUACUUCUUGAUAUGCCUGGGCAACUGGGUCUAAUACCCGAUAUAGGCCAUCUUUAGUGUGUUGGUUGGAUAGUUUUUUCGGUCUUGGAUGAGCUUGCGGCCUAUCAGCCUGUUGGGUGGGUAAUUGCCUACCAAGGCGGCGUCGGGUAGCCGGCCUGAGAGGGUGGACGGCCACAUUGGGACUGAGGUAGGGGCCAGACGGCUAAGGGGAGGAGAAGUGGGGAAAAAUGCAAAAGGGGCGGAAAGCUGGUGGAAGGAAGCCGCGGGGGGGAAGACGGGCUUCGGGUUGUAAACUCCUUUCGCUAGGGAAGAAACUUUUUGUGACGGUACCUAGAUAAGAAGCACCGGCUAACUACGUG
rnacentral:rRNA from 1 species